ACAGCUGGUGUUGUGUUACUCUGACCUCACAGACAGUUGCUGUCAGGUCACAUUUACUCACAAAAUGCUUUUAACAGCUCUGCUGCCACGUGACGCCCAGGACAGAGAAGUGAUGAGAAAAACUUUACUGCGCAGGAGGGAUGUGAGAGUGAGCACAGAGUGAUCAGCUUGUCUGAGAUGUAUUCCCUGAAGGCUGGUCCUGAAGCAGACCACCUACAGUCUGAAAGGAGCUCCACCUGAGUCAUACUGAGUCACCUUAAUACCAUGACUGUUGGGAGGAGAGCAGGUCAGUGUUAAGCUGCCCUCUGUGAGCCUGCUUCAUCCCCUGGAUCCCAAGCAGUACCCAGGCUGAAAGGGGUCAAAGGUCACAGAGUCUCUACUAUUCUGCAUUUCCUGCAGACUGGAGGGUCCACAAACACCCCAUCUUUACAACCAAAUCCUAGAAACUCCCAAACCAGUAAGGAAACUGUUUUUGGGGUUUGAGUAGAGUGCCUUGCUUUCUGUUUCUUCUUUGUCUGUCCUCAAAACCAGUCUUUUUUUUCUUCAAACAUUUAAAUAUUUUGUUAAACUUAUUGACACGUUGUUAUGGUGAUCUGAAAAUGUAUUGUUGUUUUUGUUGCACUAUUUGUGUUGCUGGUGUGGUUUUCUUGUGCAUUUUCAGAGGCCUCUGGUGCUGGAGCUCCUGAUUCACACACUUGUACCUCAUUUAAACUCAUCAGUGGCUGCUCAAGAACCCCUGUGUUUCCCUCCCAUGCUGCCAGAUUGUCUCCACUCUCCAUGUGCUAUUGUUGGCUGCUCCAGUGCGUUCGCUUGCUGAACUUUUCUCCAGUUCGUUUUUUGUUACGUUUUACUAAUUGCUUGUCUGCUCUUCCCUCCGGUGCCUUCCACCUCUGAGCUUCUGUGCCUAAGCCUCAUUCCCCAUCCUCUACCUCAGCUUCAAGCCACACCACUCAGCCUUUGUGAAUAAAUCACCUUUUCCCUGA